rnacentral:rRNA from 1 species
AACGUAGGUCACAAGCGUUGUCCGGAAUUACUGGGUGUAAAGGGAGCGCAGGCGGGAAGACAAGUUGGAAGUGAAAUCUAUGGGCUCAACCCAUAAACUGCUUUCAAAACUGUUUUUCUUGAGUAGUGCAGAGGUAGGCGGAAUUCCCGGUGUAGCGGUGGAAUGCGUAGAUAUCGGGAGGAACACCAGUGGCGAAGGCGACUUUCUGGACUGUAACUGACGCUGAGGCACGAAAGUAUGGGUAGCAAACAGG